GGCUCUUUGAAAAAAAUUGAUAAGGAGUCGGGCCUGCCCAGUGACGUGGAGUUUAACGGCCGCGGUACUUUGACCGUGCAAAGGUAGCAUAAUCAAUUGCCUUAUAAUUGAAGGCUAGUAUGAAUGGUUUAACAAGAAUUUAACUGUCUCCUGUUAAUUAAAAUGAAUUUGACUUUUAAGUGCAAAGGCUUAAAUAAUAUUGAAAGACAAGAAGACCCUAUUGAGCUUAAAAAUUUUUAGUAGAAUAGGUAAUAUAAAUAUUUAAAUUUCAAUCUAUUAAAUUUUUUUAGUUGGGGCGACUCUGGAACAAUUAAAACUUCCUGAACAACAUAAUAUUUUUAUAAUUUUUUUUUAGGAUCCAGAAUUAUUCUGAUUAAUAGAACAAGUUACCAUAGGGAUAACAGCAUAAUCUUCUUUGAGAGUUCUAAUCGAAAAGAGGGUUUGUGACCUCGAUGUUGGACUAGAAUAUCCUAAAGAUGCAGAAGUUUUUAAAGGUUGGUCUGUUCGACCAUUAAAAUUCU
rnacentral:rRNA from 1 species